GCCAGGAGUGGUGGCGCACUCCUGUAGUCCCAGCUACUCAGGAGGCUGAGGCAGGAGAAUUGCUUGAGUCCAGGAGGCAGAAACUGCAGUGAGCAGGGAUCGUGCCACUGCACUCCAGUCUGGGCAACAGAGUGAGACUCCGUCUCAA
rnacentral:SRP_RNA from 1 species